AUUGAACGCUGGCGGAAUGCUUUACACAUGCAAGUCGAACGGCAGCACGGACUUCGGUCUGGUGGCGAGUGGCGAACGGGUGAGUAAUGUAUCGGAACGUGCCCAGUCGUGGGGGAUAACGUAGUGAAAAUUACGCUAAUACCGCAUACGAUCUAUGGAUGAAAGCGGGGGAUCGCAUGACUUUGACCGAUUGGAGCGGCCGAUAUCAUAUUAGGUAGUUGGUGGGGUAAAGGCCCACCAAGCCAACGAUCUGUAGCUGGUCUGAGAGGACGACCAGCCACACUGGAACUGAGACACGGUCCAGACUCCUACGGGAGGCAGCAGUGGGGAAUUUUGGACAAUGGGCGAAAGCCUGAUCCAGCCAUUCCGCGUGCAGGAUGAAGGCCCUCGGGUUGUAAACUGCUUUUGUACAGAACGAAAAGGUUUCUACUAAUACUAGGAGCUCAUGACGGUACUGUAAGAAUAAGCACCGGCUAACUACGUGCCAGCCGCCGCCGUAA
rnacentral:rRNA from 1 species